AGCCUGAUGCAGCCAUGCCGCGUGUGUGAAGAAGGCCUUCGGGUUGUAAAGCACUUUCAGCAGUGAGGAAGGUAGCGUAGUUAAUACCUGCGUUAAUUGACGUUAGCUGCAGAAGAAGCACCGGCUAACUCCGUGCCAGCAGCCGCGGUAAUACGGAGGGUGCGAGCGUUAAUCGGAAUUACUGGGCGUAAAGCGCAUGCAGGCGGUCUGUUAAGCAAGAUGUGAAAGCCCCGGGCUUAACCUGGGAACUGCAUUUUGAACUGGCAGGCUAGAGUCUUGUAGAGGGGGGUAGAAUUUCAGGUGUAGCGGUGAAAUGCGUAGAGAUCUGAAGGAAUACCGGUGGCGAAGGCGGCCCCCUGGACAAAGACUGACGCUCAGAUGCGAAAGCGUGGGGAGCAAACAGGAUUAGAUACCCUGGUAGUCCACGCUGUAAACGAUGUCUACUUGGAGGUUGUGGCCUUGAGCCGUGGCUUUCGGAGCUAACGCGUUAAGUAGACCGCC
rnacentral:rRNA from 1 species